GACGAACGCUGGCGGUGUGCCUAACACAUGCAAGUCGAACGGUAAGGCCCUUUCGGGGGUACACGAGUGGCGAACGGGUGCGUAACACGUGAGUAACCUGCCCUCAUCUCUGGGAUAACAGUCGGAAACGGUUGCUAAUACUGGAUAUGAGCCUGCAAGGCAUCUUGUGGGUUGGAAAGAUUUUUUGGUUGGGGGUGGACUCGCGGCCUAUCAGCUUGUUGGUGAGGUAGUGGCUCACCAAGGCUUCGACGGGUAGCCGGCCUGAGAGGGCGACCGGCCACAUUGGGACUGAGAUACGGCCCAAACUCCGACGGGAGGCAGCAGUGGGGAAGAUUGCACAAUGGACGGAAGUCUGAUGCAGCAACGCCGCGUGCGGGAUGACGGCCUUCGGGUUGUAAACCGCUUUCAAUUGUGACGAAGCUUUUUGUGACGGUAGCAGUAGAAGAAGCACCGGCUAACUACGUG
rnacentral:rRNA from 1 species